UACGUAGGGGGCUAGCGUUGUCCGGAAUCAUUGGGCGUAAAGCGCGUGUAGGCGGUCCGGUAAGUCCGCUGUGAAAGUCGGGGGCUCAACCUCGGAUGCCGGUGGAUACUGUCGGGCUUGAGUACGGAAGAGGCGAGUGGAAUUCCUGGUGUAGCGGUGAAAUGCGCAGAUAUCAGGAGGAACACCAAUUGCGAAGGCAGCUCGCUGGGA
rnacentral:rRNA from 1 species